rnacentral:tRNA from 1 species
GCCCGGGUGGCGCAAUUGGCUGACGCAGGGGCCUUAAAAGCCCCCGCCCGCAAGGGCUUGUGGGUUCGAACCCCACCCCGGGCA